ACGUGGGUGAUUUGCCCUGUACUUCGGGAUAAGCUUGGGAAACUGGGUCUAAUCCCGGAUAGGACCAUGGUUUAGUGUCUCCAUGGUGGAAAGAUUAUUGUUUUGGUGCAGGAUGAGCUCGCGGCCUAUCAGCUUGUUGGUGGGGUAAUGGCCUACCAAGGCGUCGACGGGUAGCCGGCCUGAGAGGGUGGACGGCCACAUUGGGACUGAGAUACGGCCCAGACUCCUACGGGAGGCAGCAGUGGGGAAUAUUGCACAAUGGGCGCAAGCCUGAUGCAGCGACGCCGCGUGGGGGAUGACGGCCUUCGGGUUGUAAACUCCUUUCGUUAGGGACGAAGCCGCACCUGUUUUUGGGUGUGGUGACGGUACCUUGUAA
rnacentral:rRNA from 1 species